rnacentral:rRNA from 1 species
ACUCGAGUGGCGAACGGGUGGGUAACACGUGGGUGAUCUGCCCUGCACUUCGGGAUAAGCUUGGGAAACUGGGUCUAAUACCGGAUAGGAGCCAUCUUUAGUGUGGUGGUUGGAAAGUUUUUUCGGUGUAGGAUGAGCUCGCGGCCUAUCAGCUUGUUGGUGGGGUAAUGGCCUACCAAGGCGGCGACGGGUAGCCGGCCUGAGAGGGUGUACGGCCACAUUGGGACUGAGAUACGGCCCAG